rnacentral:misc_RNA from 1 species
CACACACACACACAAAAAUAAAUAUUAAGGAAAAAACCAAAAAGGUUCAAAUAGUUGGUCAUGCUUUGUGGCAUUGAAUGAUAGGUCCAUUCUAUUGACUCGAAAGUAGCUGUUCAUCUGGUGAGAACCUUGGGCUGAUGGCCAAACAUCACCAUAACCCCUAGUGCUUCUAUUCACUAUCUUGCAUUUGUUGGUCAAUGAUAUUUUACUUGAUAAUAGACAUGAUAAUAGAAAUCAUUCUUUGCAUUAUUUUCUCAUAUUUGGGUAAUUAAUUUCCUUUGUUUUAUAGCAUGGGCAGAAG